AUUGAACGCUGGCGGCAGGCCUAACACAUGCAAGUCGAACGAGUGGCGGACGGGUGAGUAAUGUCUGGGAAACUGCCCGAUGGAGGGGGAUAACUACUGGAAACGGUAGCUAAUACCGCAUACCAUCGGAUGUGCCCAGAUGGGAUUAGCUAGUAGGUGGGGUAGUGGCCUACCAAGGCGACGACGGGUAGCCGGCCUGAGAGGGCGACCGGCCACAUUGGGACUGAGAUACGGCCCAGACUCCUACGGGAGGCAGCAGUGGGGAAUAUUGCACAAUGGGCGCAAGCCUGAUGCAGCCAUGCCGCGUGUAUGAAGAAGGCCUUCGGGUUGUAAAGUACUUUCAGCGAGGAGGCGUUACUCGCAGAAGAAGCACCGGCUAACUCCGUGUCAGCAGCCGCGGUAAUAC
rnacentral:rRNA from 1 species